rnacentral:rRNA from 1 species
GGGGAGGUAGUGACAAUAAAUAACAAUAUAGGGCUCUUUCGGGUCUUAUAAUUGGAAUGAGUACAAUUUAAAUCCCUUAACGAGGAACAAUUGGAGGGCAAGUCUGGUGCCAGCAGCCGCGGUAAUUCCAGCUCCAAUAGCGUAUAUUAAAGUUGUUGCAGUUAAAAAGCUCGUAGUUGAACUUCAGACCUGGUCGGGCGGUCCGCUUAACGGCGUGUACUGUCUGACUGGGCCUUACCUCUUGGUGAGCCGGCGUGCCCUUUAUUGGCGUGCGUCGGGGAACCGGGACUUUUACCUUGAGAAAAUUAGAGUGUUCAAAGCAGGCUUAUGCCCGAAUACAUUAGCAUGGAAUAAUAAAAUAGGACGUGCGGUUCUAUUUUGUUGGUUUCUAGAAUCGCCGUAAUGAUUAAUAGGGAUAGUUGG